rnacentral:rRNA from 1 species
AGUAGGGAAUAUUGGACAAUGGGCGCAAGCCUGAUCCAGCCAUGCCGCGUGAGUGAAGAAGGCCCUCGGGUUGUAAAGCUCUUUUGUCCGGAAAGAAAAGCAUUCGGUUAAUACCCGAGUGUUCUGACGGUACCGGAAGAAUAAGCACCGGCUAACUUCGUGCCAGCAGCCGCGGUAAUACGAAGGGUGCAAGCGUUACUCGGAAUUACUGGGCGUAAAGCGUGCGUAGGUGGUUUGUUAAGUCUGAUGUGAAAGCCCUGGGCUCAACCUGGGAAUGGCAUUGGAUACUGGCAAGCUAGAGUGCGGUAGAGGGUAGUGGAAUUCCCGGUGUAGCAGUGAAAUGCGUAGAGAUCGGGAGGAACAUCUGUGGCGAAGGCGACUACCUGGACCAGCACUGACACUGAGGCACGAAAGCGUGGGGAGCAAA